AAGUCGAGCGGUAACAGAUCUAGCUUGCUAGAUGCUGACGAGCGGCGGACGGGUGAGUAACGCGUGGGAAUCUACCCAGUAGCGGGGGAUAACUUGUGGAAACGCAAGCUAAUACCGCAUACGCCCUAAGGGGGAAAGCAGGGGACCUUCGGGCCUUGUGCUAAAAGAUGAGUCUGCGUCAGAUUAGCUUGUUGGUGAGGUAAUGGCUCACCAAGGCGACGAUCUGUAGCUGGUCUGAGAGGACGACCAGCCACACUGGGACUGAGAUACGGCCCAGACUCCUACGGGAGGCAGCAGUGAGGAAUAUUGGACAAUGGGCGCAAGCCUGAUCCAGCCAUACCGCGUGUGUGAAGAAGGCUCUAGGGUUGUAAAGCACUUUCAGCAGGGACAAAAAGUUGAUGGUUAAUAGCCAUCAGCUGUGACGUUAACUGCAGAAUAAGCACCGGCUAACUCCGUGCCAGCAGCCGCGGUAAUACGGAGGGGGCAAGCGUUAAUCGGAAUUACUGGGCGUAAAGCGCACGUAGUCGGCUUUUUAAGCUAGAUGUGAAAGCCCCGGGCUCAACCUGGGAACUGCAUUUUGAACUGGUCGACUAGAGUUUUGUAGAGGGUGGUGGAAUUUCCAGUGUAGCGGUGAAAUGCGUAGAGAUCUGAAGGAACAUCAGUGGCGAAGGCGACACUCUGGACCAAUACUGACGCUGAGGUGCGAAAGCGUGGGUAGUAAACAGGAUUAGAUAUCCUGGUAGUCCACGCCGUAAACGAUGUCUACUAGCCGUUGGGUUCCUUGAGGACUUAGUGGCGCAAGUUAAUGUAUUAAGUAGACCGCCUGGGGAGUACGGCCGCAAGGUUAAAACUCAAAUGAAUUGACGGGGGCCCGCACAAGCGGUGGAGCAUGUGGUUUAAUUCGAUGCAACGCGAAGAACCUUACCAGGUCUUGACAUUCUGCGAAUUUUCUAGAAGUAGAUUGGUGCCUUCGGGAACGCAGUGACAGGUGCUGCAUGGCUGUCGUCAGCUCGUGUCGUGAGAUGUUGGGUUAAGUCCCGUAACGAACGCAACCCUUGUCCUUAGUUGCCAGCACAUAAUGGUGGGAACUCUAAGGAGACUGCCGGUGACAAACCGGAGGAAGGUGGGGACGACGUCAAGUCAUCAUGGCCCUUACGACCUGGGCUACACACGUGCUACAAUGGCAGGGACAGAGGGAUGCGAACUCGCGAGAGUAUGCGGACCCCAGAAAGCCUGUCGUAGUCCGGAUCGGAGUCUGCAACUCGACUCCGUGAAGUCGGAAUCGCUAGUAAUCGCGGAUCAGAAUGCCGCGGUGAAUACGUUCCCGGGCCUUGUACACACCGCCCGUCACACCAUGGGAGUGGGUUGCAAAAGAAGUGGCUAGUCUAACCUUCGGGGGGACGC
rnacentral:rRNA from 1 species